rnacentral:rRNA from 1 species
GACGAACGCUGGCGGCGUGCCUAAUACAUGCAAGUCGAGCGGUUGAAGCCUUCGGGUGGAGAUAGCGGCGGACGGGUGAGUAACACGUAGGUAACCUGCCUAACAGACUGGGAUAACUACCGGAAACGGUAGCUAAGACCGGAUACGUCAACAUGAGGGCAUCCUCGAGUUGAGAAAAGCGGAGCAAUCUGCUACUGAUAGAUGGACCUGCGGCGCAUUAGCUAGUUGGUGAGGUAGAGGCUCACCAAGGCGACGAUGCGUAGCCGACCUGAGAGGGUGAACGGCCACACUGGGACUGAGACACGGCCCAGACUCCUACGGGAGGCAGCAGUAGGGAAUCUUCGGCAAUGGACGAAAGUCUGACCGAGCAACGCCGCGUGAGUGAUGAAGGUUUUCGGAUCGUAAAACUCUGUUGCCAGGGAAGAAUGGUUGAGAGAGUAACUGCUCUUGAUUUGACGGUAC